GAUGAAGAACGUAGCGAAAUGCGAUAAGCAGUGUGAAUUGCAGAAUUCAGUGAAUCAUCGAAUCUUUGAACGCACAUUGCGCUCCCUGGUAUUCCGGGGAGCAUGCCCGUUUCAGAAUCAUUAAAAUCUCACAAACCCUGGUUUACGUUCGCGGAAACGGGGGGAAGUGGAUGUGGGUGCACUUGCGAGCCUGGCUUGCGAUACAUCUAUAAAUGAUUGUGACGUGCGCCAAUUGUCGUGUCAACUGGUCGUCCGAAGCGCAACAGAUUCAUCUAUUCGUUUUGGUCAUCACUGACUGACUUGGAGGCAUGGGACUCAACUUGUCAACCGGGGCUCUGCAGUUUGCAGAGCUCGCUGAUAACUUGGUCUGAAAUCGGGCAAGAAAACCCGCUGAACUUAAGCAUAUCAAUAAGCGGAGGA
rnacentral:misc_RNA from 1 species